GAUGAACGCUGGCGGCGUGCCUAAUACAUGCAAGUCGAGCGAACGGACGAGAAGCUUGCUUCUCUGAUGUUAGCGGCGGACGGGUGAGUAACAUGUGGAGAACCUACCUAUAAGACUGCGAUAACUUCGGGAAACCGGAGCUAAUACCGGAUAAUAUUUUGAACCGCAUGGUUCAAAAGUGAAAGACGGUCUUGCUGUCACUUAUAGAUGGAUCCGCGCUGCAUUAGCUAGUUGGUAAGGUAACGGCUUACCAAGGCAACAAUGCAUAGCCGACCUGAGAGGGUGAUCGGCCACACUGGAACUGAGACACGGUCCAGACUCCUACGGGAGGCAGCAGUAGGGAAUCUUCCGCAAUGGGCGAAAGCCUGACGGAGCAACGCCGCGUGAGUGAUGAAGGUCUUCGGAUCGUAAAACUCUGUUAUUAGGGAAGAACAUAUGUGUAAGUAACUGUGCACAUCUUGACGGUACCUAAUCAGAAAGCCACGGCUAACUACGUG
rnacentral:rRNA from 1 species